AGAUAUCAAGUCAGUAACAUAGGAUUUUAAUUGCAUUUCUUGCAAUCUUUACCCCAAAACUAUAAUAACAUGGUCCCUAGACAUAAGUUUUUAUAGAUGUUACAUGUAUAAUUUUUCACUUUCAAAUCAAUUCGCUUUCUUUGUUUCUAAGGAGACAAAUCAGCAUCACUAACAACAAAUCAUCAACAAAUUACAUUAAAUAGAUUAGUUUCUAAGAUGAUCGAUGUACAUGUAUCCUUUGUUUCAAAAUGUGCCUCAUUAAUAAAGUAUUAUAGUCAAUAAUUUCUCAGCAUCCUGAAAAACCUAUCACAAGAAGUUCAUUUGUUG
rnacentral:lncRNA from 1 species